ACAACAUUCACUCACAGUCACACUGAAUAUUAUUUGAGCACAGCCAGUGUUGUAGAAAAUGGGUGUGUUUUCUGUGUAGAUUCUCUUCUGCUGCCCUCUGCAUGCUUCCUGCUUUGAAUGAGUUCUUCUGCAUUGUGGAUCAGAAAUCUGACCUUUUCAAAGUAUCCAGGCUUGAGAAUGGUGUCAGGAAAGAAAAGAAUGAAAACUUUUCUGAGUUCCUGUCCUGGACCUGCACUGAAUCACCGAGCUUCAUCUGAUGGCAACCUUUGAUUACUGCAAGUAGUUCUGAAUAUUAGCUGCAAC